UACGGGGGGAGCAAGCGUUGUUCGGAUUUACUGGGCGUAAAGGGCGCGUAGGCGGCGCAACAAGUCACUUGUGAAAUCUCCGGGCUUAACCCGGAGCGGCCAAGUGAUACUGUCGUGCUAGAGUGCGGAAGGGGCUACUGGAAUUCUCGGUGUAGCGGUGAAAUGCGUAGAUAUCGAGAGGAACACCUGCGGCGAAGGCGGGUUGCUGGGCUGACACUGACGCUGAAGUGCGAAAGCUAGGGGAGCGAACGGG
rnacentral:rRNA from 1 species